GCUUCAUGGCAGCAGUGCCAGGAGAUGUGACUUCUCUGGAAAAAGAUUACAAAGUUUCUCUCUGUCUGCUCUUGUUAUCAGCUUUGUUUGCUUGUGUGUUUUUCAGAAGUUUUAAUCAUCGUUGCUUCUGUUGGUUAGUUUUAAAUAUGUUACUUAAAACUGAACCCCAGGAGGGUGGGAACAUGCAGUUCAGAUUUAUUUAAAGGAGGUCAAAACUCAACCGGGUCUCAGUCAAAGCCGCUUUCUCCUUUACGUCAAUCUCUAACACUGAAGAAUAAUGAAGACUCUGUUUGUGACUCUGAUUCUUACCUUGAUGGCGAUGAGAGGUGAUUCUUUUCUAAAAUGUUCAUACUGCCAUCCAGGGAAAGGUGAAUUAUGUUUGAAUGAUCUUCAGACCUGCAUUUCCGAGGAUGCCCUGUGUUUGACUUUUGAGCGGACGGAUUUCCCAAAUACCUUCGUUAAGCAAUGCGCCACAUCCAUAGACUGCCAACGUCUAGGGGAAACUUCGAAUGGAAUCGUAAAAUGCUGCAAUACAGACUUCUGCAAUGGUCCUUUUAGUGUUUUCCCAUGAACAUAAACGUAAAACAUAACAACCUUAUUAUUGUUGUUGUUCAUCAUGUAAACAGCUUCCUCAGUAGCAUAUUCUGCUCACUCUGAAACAAAUCCAGUUUUGAAUAAACUCUUA